rnacentral:rRNA from 1 species
AUGGACCUUCCGUCGCCUCACCAAGCACCAAGAGGACCCAUGACUAGAGCACGAGCUCGAACUCUCGAGACCGAGGUGACUUCUCUCCUUAGUGAUAUCACAUAUGAUCCACUCGAGACAUGGCUACUACCUAAGUCCGGUAUACUAUGCAUGAUUAGGUGUCAAGAGGAACCUCCCGAGGAUGCAUGUGAAGAUGAACAAGCCGCCAACUCCAUGGAUGAAGAGAACCAACUGAAAUGGGCAAGUUCACCUUCCAGGCCCCGGACAUCCGGCCCCCGGAGCGUCUCCAUCAGCAACAGCCAAGCUGGCCAAGUCUACAGGGCCCCGACAUCUGGCGUCCGGCCCGGACAUCCGGCCCCAGCCCGGAAAUCCGGCCAAAGUCCCGGAAAUCCGGCGCCACGCGCCAGGAACUACAGAAGCUAUCGCCUCCAGCCCGGACAUCCGGCGACUUGGCCCGGUCAUCCGGCCCGACGCCCGGACAUCCGGCCCCGCCUGUCUGUGCACAGUAAAGGGCCGAAGCCCAUGUACCUCUUCGCCCCCCUAGACUAUAUAUACUCCUUCCCCUUCCUCUUUCUAGGGUUAGCAUUGGUUUAG